AAAGCCUUGUCUAUGAAGGUUACAGGUUCUAUAUCUGCUUUCAUGAUGACAUUUGUCUAUGUUUUUGUAGGUUUCUAUUCUGACAAGCACAAAACCCUGCACCAAGUUGAACCUGUCCUUUGUGAUGAGGCUGUUGAACAGAAGAGCAGCAUAGCAGUCUGUCUAUUCUUGCUCCACAUUCAGCUAAAUGCCAACUCUGAUCCCUUUGAGAUGGUGCACAGGCUGAACUCAGGGAGAGUGUCAUCUCUCAGUAUCCAAGCUUCUUCAGAGAACCAUGUGGUGAAACUUCUUGAUUAAGGUCAUGUUUUUAGUCCAUGGCAUCAAUUUUUUUUUAUAAGCUAAAGGAUUAUCUA
rnacentral:lncRNA from 1 species